UGACGUAUAAGUCAGCUGUGAAAGUUUACGGCUCAACCGUGAAAUUGCAGUUGAUACUGUAUGUCUUGAGUGUACAAGAGGUGGGCGGAAUUCGUGGUGUAGCGGUGAAAUGCUUAGAUAUCACGAAGAACUCCAAUUGCGAAGGCAGCUCACUGGGGUACAACUGACACUGAGGCUCGAAAGUGUGGGUAUCAAACAGGAUUAGAUACCCUGGUAGUCCACACAGUAAACGAUGAAUACUCGCUGUUUGCGAUAUACAGUAAGCGGCCAAGCGAAAGCAUUAAGUAUUCCACCUGGGGAGUACGCCGGCAACGGUGAAACUCAAAGGAAUUGACGGGGGCCCGCACAAGCGGAGGAACAUGUGGUUUAAUUCGAUGAUACGCGAGGAACCUUACCCGGGCUUGAAUUGCAGAGGAACAUAGUUGAAAGAUUAUGGCCGCAAGGUCUCUGUGAAGGUGCUGCAUGGUUGUCGUCAGCUCGUGCCGUGAGGUGUCGGCUUAAGUGCCAUAACGAGCGCAACCCUUAUCAUUAGUUACUAACAGGUCAUGCUGAGGACUCUAGUGAGACUGCCGUCGUAAGAUGUGAGGAAGGUGGGGAUGACGUCAAAUCAGCACGGCCCUUACGUCCGGGGCUACACACGUGUUACAAUGGGGGGUACAGAGGGCAGCUACCGGGCGACCGGAUGCCAAUCCCAAAAACCUCUCUCAGUUCGGAUCGAAGUCUGCAACCCG
rnacentral:rRNA from 1 species